rnacentral:rRNA from 1 species
AACGAACGCUGGCGGCAUGCCUAACACAUGCAAGUCGAACGAGACCUUCGGGUCUAGUGGCGCACGGGUGCGUAACGCGUGGGAACCUGCCCUUAGGUUCGGAAUAACUCCCCGAAAGGGGUGCUAAUACCGGAUAAUGUCUUCGGACCAAAGAUUUAUCGCCUUUGGAUGGGCCCGCGUUGGAUUAGCUAGUUUGUAGGGUAAAAGCCUACCAAGGCGACGAUCCAUAGCUGGUCUGAGAGGAUGAUCAGCCACACUGGGACUGAGACACGGCCCAGACUCCUACGGGAGGCAGCAGUGGGGAAUAUUGGACAAUGGGCGAAAGCCUGAUCCAGCAAUGCCGCGUGAGUGAUGAAGGCCUUAGGGUUGUAAAGCUCUUUUACCCGGGAUGAUAAUGACAGUACCGGGAGAAUAAGCGCCGGCUAACUCCGUG